GCCAGUGUGGCAUAGGGGCUUGAGCAUUGGACUAUGAUUCUGGAGACCAGAGUUUGAUUCCCAGCUCAGCCA